ACGAAUGCGUUAGCCAAUGCCAUCUGUGAGCGCUGUAAGGCCAGCUUCACACCGACGGAGAAGAUGGUGAACUGUAAUGGUGAGCUGUACCAUGAGCAGUGCUUCGUCUGUGCGCAGUGCUUCCAGCAGUUCCUCGAGGGGCUCUUCUAUGAGUUUGAGGACAGAAAAUACUGUGAGCAUGACUUCCAGAUGCUGUUUGCUCCAUGCUGUCACCAGUGUGGCGAGUUCAUCAUUGGCCGUGUAAUAAAGGCCAUGAACAGCAGCUGGCAC